GAUGAACGCUAGCGAUAGGCUUAACACAUGCAAGUCGAGGGGCAGCACAAGGUAGCUUGCUAUCUGGGUGGCGACCGGCGCACGGGUGCGUAACGCGUAUGCAACUUGCCCUAUACAGGAGGAUAACCCGUCGAAAGACGGACUAAUACUGCGUAUGCUCACAACUUGGCAUCAAGUGGUGAGGAAAGAAAUUCGGUAUAGGAUAGGCAUGCGUCCCAUUAGCUUGUUGGUGAGGUAACGGCUCACCAAGGCAACGAUGGGUAGGGGAACUGAGAGGUUUAUCCCCCACACUGGUACUGAGACACGGACCAGACUCCUACGGGAGGCAGCAGUGAGGAAUAUUGGUCAAUGGGCGCGAGCCUGAACCAGCCAAGUCGCGUGAAGGAUGACUGUCUUAUGGAUUGUAAACUUCUUUUAUACGGGAAUAACAAGAGUCACGUGUGACUCCCUGCAUGUACCGUAUGAAUAAACAUCGGCUAACUCCGU
rnacentral:rRNA from 1 species